rnacentral:rRNA from 1 species
UCAAACCGGGAGAUAGCUGGUUCUCCCCGAAAGCUAUUUAGGUAGCGCCUCGUGAACUCAUCUCCGGGGGUAGAGCACUGUUUCGGCAAGGGGGUCAUCCCGACUUACCAACCCGAUGCAAACUGCGAAUACCGGAGAAUGUUAUCACGGGAGACACACGGCGGGUGCUAACGUCCGUCGUGAAGAGGGAAACAACCCAGACCGCCAGCUAAGGUCCCAAAGUCAUGGUUAAGUGGGAAACGAUGUGGGAAGGCCCAGACAGCCAGGAUGUUGGCUUAGAAGCAGCCAUCAUUUAAAGAAAGCGUAAUAGCUCACUGGUCGAGUCGGCCUGCGCGGAAGAUGUAACGGGGCUAAACCAUGCACCGAAGCUGCGGCAGCGACGCUUAUGCGUUGUUGGGUAGGGGAGCGUUCUGUAAGCCUGUGAAGGUGUGCUGUGAGGCAUGCUGGAGGUAUCAGAAGUGCGAAUGCUGACAUAAGUAACGAUAAAGCGGGUGAAAAGCCCGCUCGCCGGAAGACCAAGGGUUCCUGUCCAACGUUAAUCGGGGCAGGGUGAGUCGACCCCUAAGGCGAGGCCGAAAGGCGUAGUCGAUGGGAAACAGGUUAAUAUUCCUGUACUUGGUGUUACUGCGAAGGGGGGACGGAGAAGGCUAUGUUGGCCGGGCGACGGUUGUCCCGGUUUAAGCGUGUAGGCUGGUUUUCCAGGCAAAUCCGGAAAAUCAAGGCUGAGGCGUGAUGACGAGGCACUACGGUGCUGAAGCAACAAAUGCCCUGCUUCCAGGAAAAGCCUCUAAGCAUCAGGUAACAUCAAAUCGUACCCCAAACCGACACAGGUGGUCAGGUAGAGAAUACCAAGGCGCUUGAGAGAACUCGGGUGAAGGAACUAGGCAAAAUGGUGCCGUAACUUCGGGAGAAGGCACGCUGAUAUGUAGGUGAAGUCCCUCGCGGAUGGAGCUGAAAUCAGUCGAAGAUACCAGCUGGCUGCAACUGUUUAUUAAAAACACAGCACUGUGCAAACACGAAAGUGGACGUAUACGGUGUGACGCCUGCCCGGUGCCGGA